rnacentral:rRNA from 1 species
CCUACGGGUGGCAGCAGUAGGGAAUAUUGCUCAAUGGGGGAAACCCUGAAGCAGCAACGCCGCGUGGAGGAUGAAGGUUUUCGGAUUGUAAACUCCUUUUGUUAGAGAAGAUAAUGACGGUAUCUGACGAAUAAGCACCGGCUAACUCCGUGCCAGCAGCCGCGGUAAUACGGAGGGGGCAGGCGUUACUCGGAAUCCCGGGGCGGAAAGGGCGCGGAGGCGGGAAAGCAAGUCAGAUGUGAAAUCCGAUGGCGUAAACAUAGAACUGCAUUUGAAACUGUUAUUCUAGAGUAUGGGAGAGGUAGGUGGAAUUCUUGGUGUAGGGGUAAAAUGCGUAGAGAUCAAGAGGAACACGCAUUGCGAAGGCGGCCUGCUAGAACAUAACUGACGCUGAUGCGCGAAAGCGUGGGGAGCAAACAGGAUUAGAUACCCUUGUAGUC